rnacentral:rRNA from 1 species
GUGGGGAAUAUUGGACAAUGGGCGCAAGCCUGAUCCAGCCAUGCCGCGUGAGUGAUGAAGGCCUUAGGGUUGUAAAGCUCUUUCAGUAGGGAAGAUAAUGACGGUACCUACAGAAGAAGCCCCGGCUAACUACGUGCCAGCAGCCGCGGUAAUACGAAGGGGGCUAGCGUUGUUCGGAUUUACUGGGCGUAAAGCGCACGUAGGCGGAAUGUUAAGUCAGAGGUGAAAUCCUGGAGCUCAACUCCAGAACUGCCUUUGAUACUGGCAAGCUCGAGUCCGGAAGAGGUGAGUGGAACUCCUAGUGUAGAGGUGGAAUUCGUAGAUAUUAGGAAGAACACCAGUGGCGAAGGCGGCUCACUGGUCCGGUACUGACGCUGAGGUGCGAAAGCGUGGGGAGCAAACAGGAUUAGAAACCCGAGUAGUCC